CGGGUGAGUAACGCGUAGGAAUCUACCCAGUAGUGGGGGACAACAUGGUGAAAACCAUGCUAAUGCCGCAUACGCCCUAUGGGGGAAAGCGGGGGACCUUCGGGCCUCGCGCUAUUGGAUGAGCCUGCGUCGGAUUAGCUUGUUGGUGAGGUAAAGGCUCACCAAGGCGACGAUCCGUAGCUGGUCUGGGAGGAUGAUCAGCCACACUGGAACUGAGACACGGUCCAG
rnacentral:rRNA from 1 species